GGAGGCGCGAAGCGCGCUGUGGGACGGGGCUGUGGGGAGCUGCCACCGCCGCCCGGGCCCCGCGGGCACGACUGUUGUCUGCAGCAGCCCCUUCUGCACAGAGCUGGAGUUGACGUUCGUGGACAGACAUAGCCUCCAACACCAUCAGCUUCUAGGGAGCAGCUGACGGUGUGGACGCGAUCGCUUCUUGACGGGGCCGUUCAUCAGCUCUUGAAGAAAACGUCUUCUUGUUUUGCUGCAGAAGAGGAAGAGGCCCGGCAGCCCGGAGCGCUCCAUAUUGUGCGUUAUGCAAAUGGCUGCGUGUCAGAGGCACCGCUGCCCGCGAGGGCGAGGGGCCCUGCCGAGGGCUGCCCGUGGGAGCCCCGAACAGAGAAACUGUUGUUCCAGCUCUCACCGGUGCUGCUUCCACCACGGCCAGCUGCCUGCUUGCUGGGCUGUACUGGCAGCAGCAGCGAUGCCCCCGGGAACGGUCUGUCUGUCCCACAGCUCUGUCCUUUGCCCCCGUAUUUUUCUCUCAGCUGGCAGAAAAAUCCGUCCCUCCCCACGAAGCUCUUUGUUAUUCCAGGGGAUUAAUAAACGCUAACUUCAGAGA